rnacentral:rRNA from 1 species
UAGGGAAUAUUAGAAAUGGACGCAAGUCUGAUCUAGCAACACCGCGUGUGAGAAGAAGGCCCUCGGGUUGUAAAGCACUUUUUGGAGGGAUUAGGAAGGAAUGUACUUCCAGAAUAAGUCUCGGCUAACUACGUGCCAGCAGCCGCGGUAACACGUAGGAGGCAAACGUUAUCCGGAUUUACUGGGCGUAAAGCGCGUGUAGGUGGUUCUGUAAGUAGGGCGUGAAAGCUCCUGGCUCAACGGGGAGAGGCCGUUCUAAACUGCAGAG